GCGGCCUAUCAGCUUGUUGGUGAGGUAAUGGCUCACCAAGGCGACGACGGGUAGCCGGCCUGAGAGGGUGACCGGCCACACUGGAACUGAGACACGGUCCAGACUCCUACGGGAGGCAGCAGUGGGGAAUAUUGCACAAUGGGCGAAAGCCUGAUGCAGCAACGCCGCGUGAGGGAUGAAGGCCUUCGGGUUGUAAACCUCUUUUAGCAGGGAAGAAGCGAAAGUGACGGUACCUGCAGAAAAAGCACCGGCUAACUACGUGCCAGCAGCCGCGGUAAUACGUAGGGUGCAAGCGUUGUCCGGAAUUAUUGGGCGUAAAGAGCUCGUAGGCGGUUUGUCGCGUCUGCUGUGAAAAUCCGAGGCUCAACCUCGGACCUGCAGUGGGUACGGGCAAACUAGAGUGCGGUAGGGGAGACUGGAAUUCCU
rnacentral:rRNA from 1 species